UUUUGGAUAAAAGUUACAUUUUCUUGAAUGUUAUUAUGUUUUGUUCAGCUUAAACAACACUGCGAAUCUUUUUUAAAUCGCUUUGUAUUACCUGUCUCCUGAAACAUGUGUUAUUUUAUUUAUAAUAAGCUGGUGGGUGCUGUAGUGAGUAAGAGUUUGGUGUUCACGGCAGGUAGACAUUUUAGCUGCUGAUUUGAUUUCAAUUAAUCCGGAAGAUAUACUGUGGAUGAUUUACUGGAGCUGGAGGGAGACCGACUUUGUUAUUAAUAGAUUUGUAUUUGUAUUUCUAGUAUUUAUUUGGAGUUUUUUGUAGUGUAAGGUAGUGCACGAACCACAAUUGUUAUCCCAAAAUAAUUCCUGGGAGGCUAUUUUGUAUGUCUUGUUCUUAGGAAGUAUCGAUUGUUCAACUUUUGCUUUGAUAUCUCUGUAUUUCAUGUAAAUUUAAGCUUCAUCUUUGAAACACUGCAUACCUAUGAAGUAUGUAAAUAUUAAACAAUUGGGGUUCAGUCUAUUUGUUAUAUCAUUUAAAUU